rnacentral:lncRNA from 1 species
AGAGCUUAUUACAAAGCAAUGGUUAAUUGUUACUCCAUGGCCAUGUUGGCUUAAAUGGGCCAGCAUUCUGCCAUAUGACGGGAGGCCAUGUGGGCCGAGUCAUAUUCGAAAUGGCGUAAGGCUGGGUUGGGCUGAAUCAUGUUCGAAGUGGCGUGAAGCCAGGUGGGCCGAGUCACAAUCGAGACCCGUGGGCGCUGUUUCUGUACGCUUUAAGUGAAUUAGUUCCGUAUUUCUAACAGCUCGAGCAUUUGGGAUUAAUAGUUAGCGCCAACGAUCCGACAAGUGGUAUCAGAGCCAAAGGUCACAGGUUCAAUUUCUGCAUGCUGCAAAUGUAUGCAGGUACUGAAGGGGGGAUUGUUGGCUUAAAUGAGCCAGCAUCCUGCCCUGUGACGGGAGGCCAUGUGGGCCGAUUCAUGUUCGAAGGCCAAUUAAUUGAAU